UUCCGGUUGAUCCUGCCGGACCCGACUGCUAUCAGAGUGGGACUAAGCCAUGCGAGUCAACGUAGCAAUGCGUGGCGAACGGCUCAGUAACACGUAGUCAACAUGCCCAGGGGACGUGGAUAACCUCGGGAAACUGAGAUUAAACCGCGAUAGGUCAAGAUUUCUGGAAUGGAUCCUGGCUUAAAUCUACAUGGCCCCUGGAUUGGACUGCGGCCGAUCAGGCUGUUGGUGAGGUAAUGGCCCACCAAACCUAUAACCGGUACGGGCUCUGAGAGGAGAAGCCCGGAGAUGGGCACUGAGACAAGGGCCCAGGCCCUAUGGGGCGCAGCAGGCGCGAAAACUCUGCAAUGGGCGAAAGCCUGACAGGGUUACUCUGAGUGAUUUCCGCUAAGGAGAUCUUUUGGCAGCUCUAAAAAUGGUGCAGAAUAAGGGGUGGGCAAGUCUGGUGUCAGCCGCCGCGGUAAUACCAGCACCCCGAGUGGUCGGGACGAUUAUUGGGCCUAAAGCAUCCGUAGCCGGUUGUGCAAGUCCUCCGUUAAAUCCAGCCGCUCAACGGAUGGGCUGCGGAGGAUACUACAGAACUAGGAGGCGGGAGAGGCAAGCGGUACUUAGUGGGUAGGGGUAAAAUCCUUUGAUCCAUUGAAGACCACCAGUGGCGAAGGCGGCUUGCCAGAACGCGCUCGACGGUGAGGGAUGAAAGCUGGGGGAGCAAACCGGAUUAGAUACCCGGGUAGUCCCAGCUGUAAACGAUGCAGACUCGGUGAUGGGCUAGCCUCGUGUCAGCCCAGUGCCGCAGGGAAGCCGUUAAGUCUGCCGCCUGGGGAGUACGGUCGCAAGACUGAAACUUAAAGGAAUUGGCGGGGGAGCACCACAAGGGGUGAAGCCUGCGGUUCAAUUGGAUUCAACGCCGGAA
rnacentral:rRNA from 1 species